GCGCCCUUAGCUCAGAUGGAUAGAGCGUCGGACUACGAAUCCGAAGGUCGGGGGUUCGAUUCCCUCAGGGCGCACCA
rnacentral:tRNA from 1 species